rnacentral:rRNA from 1 species
UACAGAGGUCUCAAGCGUUGUUCGGAUUCAUUGGGCGUAAAGGGUGCGUAGGCGGCGCGGUAAGUCGGGUGUGAAAUCUCGGAGCUUAACUCCGAAACUGCAUUCGAUACUGCCGUGCUUGAGGACUGGAGAGGAGACUGGAAUUUACGGUGUAGCGGUGAAAUGCGUAGAUAUUGGGAGGAACACCAGUGGCGAAGGCGGCUCACUGGACCGGUACUGACGCUGAAGCGCGAAAGCGUGGGGAGCAAACGGG